rnacentral:lncRNA from 13 species
GUUUCAGAAGGGACAAACAUUCAAACCACAGCAGGAGUCACAGGGCAAGAAGUUGAGACUGAGGCUCUUUGAGCUGCUCUGUCGGGUCUCUCAUCUGCAUCAAUGUUGCAAAAUGUUUCCCCGAUCAGGCAUCCUUUGUGCCCUUGAAACUGCCCUGCUACCUCUUGCGGGUCUGCCUGAGACACCAUGAUAUCCUGGCACCCCAUGUAGAUUCAGAGAAGCAGCCAAGGUGCUGUGGACACUGGGGUUCCAGUCUCAGCCCAGCCACCAGAUUGACGCCCUCCUCCUCUCUGGGUCUCCAUGAGGAAAAUGAGACUGCCAGAAUGGAGAUCCUGGGGGCCUUCCAGUGCUGAGAUUCUAAAUCACCACCUGUUGAAGCCAGAUGUCAUCACUGAAAACAGAUGCGUAGCCUGCUUUGAUCUUCCAAGGCCUGUGCGCACUGCCAGUCCUCUGCCUCUCUGUCUGCCCGUCAUAAACCCAGUCCCACCCCUGACGGCCUACUCAACCCCAGAUGGUCGAGGUGACAUCAUGAUGGAUCUGACUAAAUAUUUGACUACACCGCUUGGACUUCACCUUGCUGCACUGAACUUUGGGCUGAUCCAGAGUUUGGAUUGACCUUGCUGGAUUUUGGACCAACCUCACCAAAUUUCCAACCAACCACCCCAGUACAUGCGAAGCCUGAACUUCUGUCUAGACUCCCAGGGCUUUGAGAUGAACUGAUGGAGUUUCUGAUUGAUUUUGCAGAAGUUUUCACAGAACUUAACUGAAAAUAAUGUGGUCUGGCUUUCCCAAAUUUUCAUCCCACCUGACAGGUUUGACUGAAAAGUUUUAACCUAUUUUACUGAUUGUUAUUUUAAAAACUAAAUUUCUUGGCCAGAUGCAGCGGUUCAUGUAAUCCCACCACUUUGUGAGGCAGAGGCAGGAAAAUUGUGUGAGCACAGGACUUUGAGACCAGGCUGAGCAACCAGUGAGACUCUGUCUCUACAAAAAAUACAAAAUUAGCUGGUGUGGUGGCGCAGGGCUGUCGUCCCAGCUACUGGGGAGGCUAAGGUGGGAGGAUCGUUUGUGCUCAGGAGUUUGAGGCUGCAGUGAGCAGUGAUGGUGAUUGUGCCACUGCACUCCAGCCUAGGUGACAGAGCAAGACGCUGUCUCUAACCAAAAACUAAACUUCUUGAGUGUUUGAGCUUUCCAAAUUCUUUUACCCUGAAUUGGCCAGAUGAGGAGGUGCCCUCAGACCCAGACUAAAUCACAGGAAAUUGUCAGGGAGGCUGAAUGGCUGUCCUUAGGCACAGGGUUGAGCGGUCAGCACCAAGACCCUGUCUGACACUCAAGUCUCACGCAGAGUCAGCCCUUCUCACCUAGGGAGGGGAUGGGGCAAGACAGAGGUGUGAUAGGUUCCUUAUCCCUCUUAUCACAUCUUCUAAUAUUCUCAUGUCUAUUUCUUCCUUGCUCCCUCCACCAGCAUUCUCUGCCUUCCUUCUCCUUGUUCCAGCAUUGUCCCAGCUCUUGGUCUUGGUGUCAGGAGUUCUAGGCAACAAUGCUCCUGAGUCAGUUUGCCCUGAGUAGCUUCCUGCUAAGGAGUCGUAUAAAAUAGAGCUUCAAAGCAAGGGCUCUG